rnacentral:lncRNA from 1 species
UUUCUCAACCAACGCUUUAAUUGCAUUAAGCGAUUUCGAGUUUGUGUUUGAGAAGAUGAGAAUAUCAUCUUCUGUAUACGUAAGAUGAGAUAUAGAAGUAGUCAAGUAGCACCAUUAAUUUGAUAGAUGUUUAUCUUUUUGUUUUUCAUUUCACUCUGUAUCAAUCUACCUAGACGUUCAUAACCAUGUCAAAUAAAAUAGAAGAUAGAUGAUCACCCUGCUUAACUCCCUUCUUGCUUUUGAAGGAAGGCGUUGAAGUCCCUUCCACUAGUACUGAGAAUGAAAUCAAAUUGUAAAAUAUAAGAUAAAAUAUAUACGUUUCAAGAGUGAAAAUUAUAAUCUCCCAACUAACUGUGUCAAUUUUUUUUUAAGAUCUAUACUCAAACAACACCUUUUGAGAGUUCUUUUUUUCCCAAAGUCAUAAACCAUCUCAUCCACUAGAAUGGUAUUAUCCGAGAUGAGUCUGAAGAUUAUAUACAACAAUUUUCAGGGAAGCCCCCUUAAAAUAGGCUCAAAAACGUCCAUUGAAUCUCAACCGUCCAUCUCAUCUUCAUUAUAAAAAAAAAAAUUCUUCAUCUACACUCUUCUCCUUAGAGUGUACUAUCUUACACAUUCUCUUUUCUUUUGCUUUCUUCUCUCUUUCUCUUUCUUCCUCUCUCUUCAUCUCUUCUUCUCAUCUCCUCUUCCUUAUUCUUCAGAUUUUUGUACCCAUUUUUUUAUAAAGGUUCUUUCGAAAUCAUGUUUAUCUCAUCUUCAGGUUUUUUAUAAAGGUUUUUUUCGUUGUUUCCUAUCUUUUUUUCCCGUUGUUUGUAAUGUAGUCUAUAUGUUGUUUGACACACCUACAUUACUUAUUCUUUAUUUUUCUACCUAUUUAUUUUUCCUCCUAUGACUCUGUUUCUAAAUUAGUUUAUGUAUUGUUCAUUAUUCUCACCAUUAACCAGAAACGAUCGGAGAAGGAGGUGCGAUCGGUACCGACAGGAACGUGAUUGGCAGGACGAUGAGUAUCCCUACCCGGCAACAUUGAAUAUUGGUAACUUCGUUUCAAUAUAUCUCUCUGCUAACAAUUUCUUGCAAUGGCGGACACAAAUGGUUAACUUGUUAGAAGGACAAGACCUUAUUGAGUUCGUUGAUGGCUCAAUAGUGGCACUCCUAAAAUUCAUUGAUGCAUCAUUGAGGGAAACAUGGGUAUUAAAUGUGAAUUUAAACCCUAGGUUUAAAUUACGGAGAAAGACUGAUCGACAAAAGGUUAGAUUACUAGUCGACUUUCUUCAACAACUCUGAGUCUAAUUACUAGGAUAGAAACAUCAAAAGGGGUAUGGGACACCUUUGAAAAGUGUGUGUGCACAAGAUUCAUUUGAGAGAGAGUUUCUAUUGAGGGGAAAAAUACAACAAUUAAAAAAAGAAUCCUCUGUUUCGAUUCAGAACUAUAUUAAUAGUCUGAAAAUGAUAUUUGAUGAGUUAAACUUGAUAGGGAGACAACUUGGAGAUGUAGAGAAGCCAUAUUUUUUGUUGAAUGGAUUGGGGGAGAGUUAUGAGUCUUUCAAGACUAUUACAAUAAAACCAACAGUCCCACCCUAUAAUUUUGUGGUGCCCCAACUGAUUAGCUAUGAUUUAAGGAAUGGAUCGGAUUAACAAUUGAGAAAAAUUCUGAUCUGUUUUAUAUGGAUAGGAAGAAUAGAGGAAAAUUUUAUAAAAAAAAAGGAAAAGAAAGAAAACAAGAAUUUAACUCUAAAGGUAGGGGUUUUAAACCUCAUGGAUUUAUGAAGAUUGAAAACAGUACAAAGGAAGAUCAGAUGGUAGAGUUUUAUGUCAAAUUUGUAAAGGGUCAGGUCAUCAAGCAAUGGUUUGUCCUAGCAGAUUUGAUCACUUAGUACAAGUUGAUGAUCUUCAUCAUGAGAUGAAUGCUCUACAUAUGUCUGGAGAAUCUUCAACUCAGGAAUGGCUAGCAGACAUUGGAGAUGCAACACUUAUGACAUACAAUGAAGGUAAUUAAUCUUGACUAUUUCAAACCCUAUACUGGAAAAAAAUGUGUAAAAGUUGGAAAUGAAAAGAAUUAGAUAUUUCAUUUAAAGGAGAUAAAAUGAUAAUGUUAUAUAAUGAUAAAAGUUUAUACUUAAAAAAUGUGUUAGUAGUACCAAAUAUCAAGAGAAAUGUGCUUUCAAUUAGUAAAUUAACAAAAGAAUUUCCUUUUGUUUUUGAGUUUUAUUCUGCUCACUUUGUGAUUAAGGAUUUUCUGAGGAGAACAAUAGUAGCUAAGGGGAGCAAAACUAAAGAUGAUCUCUACACCUUGGGAUCUAGGAGCACUGAGCUACAUGCACUAGAGGUAGUAAGAGGUGAAACUGAACAAAUUUGACAUCAUAGAUUAGGGUAUUUAAAUAAAUAAACUCUGAAAUUUUUAAGUAAAAAGAACAUAAUAAAUGUAACCGAAUAGAAUAAUAAAAAUAGUAAAUGUGAAGGAUGUAUGAUAUGGGGAAAAUGUCAAAACUCUCUUUCUUAUCUUCAAAGUCAAGUUCGAAUGCUAUUUUUGAUAAAAAUCACUAUGAUAUUUGGGAACCCUCUCCAAUUAUAACAAAACUUAAUUUCAGAUUUUAUGCAUGCCCAAUAGAUGAUUUUUCUAAAUUUACAUGGUUCAUACCUUUAAAAUCAAAAUAUGAUUUUACUGAUUCUUAUUUAAAAUUUGAAAGAUAUAUUUUUAGACAAUUCGAAAAAAAAAGUAUUUCAAUGUGAUGGUGGAGGUGAGUUUUGCAAUAAUAAAUUGCAAAAUCACUUCAGAAAUGAGGGUAUAAAAAUGCAAAUGUCAUGUCCUUCAACUCCCCAACAAAAUGGGGUAUCUGAAAGAAGACAUAGAACUAUUAGAGAAUAUGGACUAUCCCUAAUGUUUCAUAGUGGAGUAUCACAAAGCUUUUGGGUAGAGGCAUUUGACACUGCCACUUACCUUAUGAAUAGAACCCAUCCAGUCUCAUUAGGAAAUGUCUCACCAUUUGAGAAAUUAUACGAGAAAGAGUUCAAUUUCAACAAUCUAAAAAGUUUUGGAUGUGUAUGCUCUCCUUACAUAUAGGAUACUAAAAUAAAUAAAUUCAGUCCUAAGUCACUACCUUGUGUGAUGACAGGGUAUAGUGAAAAAUACAAAGGUUUUAAGUGUUUAAAUAAAAAAACAGAAAAAAUAAUUAUUUUUAGGCAUGUGCAUGGUAUUUGAUGAGGUCAAAUUUUCAUUUAGAAAAACAGCAAAAAAUAAUAAAGUAAAAGAUGUCAGUCAAGAGAAUGAGAUUACAAUAUUUUCUGAACUAGAAGGCAUAAAAAUGCUCUGUUUAAUCCAGAGGUUGGAUCUCUAAAUAAAGAACAAAACUGUAAUAGAGUUGUGGUUGGUUCAGAAGAACAAAUAAAUGUUCAAAUUCAACCAGCAAAUAGAAUUAUGAAUACUGCAGAUAUCGAUCAGCAGGAGAAUAUAGAACCUGUACUUGAUACUAAUCUAGAUAAUAUAGAGAACACAAUAUCUAACUUAGAUACUCACCAAUAAAAAUGGUUGUAGGAUGAUGCACCAACAAAUGGAUCUAGGAAAAUGGUUACAAGGUCAAUAGACGAAACUGUUAAACCCAAUUCAAAAUAUUUCAGCUUAACUCAAAUUAAAAAAAAUGAACCAAACAAUGUGAGUGAGGCAUUAAAGGAUGUAGAAUGGAAACAUGCCAUGGAGGAUGAGGUAGAUGCACUUAAAAGUUAGGGCACUUUUGAGCUAAUAGCAAAGGAACCAAUAAUGAGAAUCUUGAAAACUAAAUGGGUAUGGAAAAUAAAACUCAAAGCAGAUGGUAUACAAUAGAUAGAUUAAAGGUACUGAAGGAGGAUGUGUUUGUGGAACAACCACAAGGCUUUAAGGAUAAAGAGCAUCCAUACCAUGUAUGGAGACUGAAAAAAGCAUUAUAUGGGCUUAAACAAACUCCAAGAACAUGGUAUGACACUCUAAGUAAAUUCCUUCUAGAUUCAGACUUCAUACGUAAUAAGGCAGAUCCCUCACUUUUCAUUUACAAAAAUGGUAAAGGAUUCUCUGAUGAUGCUAGUCUAUGUAGAUGAUUUAGUUUUGACAGACUCAAGCAAAAAGUUAAUAGAGGAGUUCAUAAAAUGUAUAGAAAAAAGAUUUGAUGUUAAAGAGGAAGUUUCAUUACUUUUUAGGAAUUGUAGUAAUCUACUGUAGUGAUGGUAUGUAUAUUACUCAAGCUAAAUAUGCAAAGGAAGUUGUCACUAGGGCAAAGAUGGAAAAUGCAAGACCUGUGAGAUUACCAAUGUCAGCAAAAGAUAAAUGAUGGGGAACCAUUCCCUGACAUAACUUUGUAUCUCUCUCUAGCAGGAGCUUUACAAUAUCUAACUAUAAUAAGACCAGAUCUGACAUUUGUUGUAGGACAGGUUUGUCAAUUUAUGCAUGCACCAACAAUAUUGCACUUUAAAUUUUUAAAGAAGCUAAUAAGGUAUAAGUCACACUGCUCAAACCAAGCUUACAGUGUUUAGUGAUGCAGAUUGGGCCGUGUGUCCAUUGACCAGAAGAUCAACAACAGGUAUGUGUGUGUUCUUUGGGUCAAAUUGCCUCAUAGGGAACAAAAAAACAAAAGACAAUCUCAAAAUCCAGUACUGAAGCAGAAUAUAGGGCUAUGUCUGCAGCAGCAGCUAAAGUCACUUGGAUUACACACUUACUGAAAGAUUUAGAGGUCAGAAUGGUUGAAACACCUCAACUAUUCUGUGAUAACCUAAGUGUUUUACAAUUAACAAUAAAUCCGAAAUUUCAUAAGAAAUCAAAACAUUUUGAGUUAGAUUUUCAUUAUGUUAGAGAGAAAAAAUAGCUCAAGGGAAGUUGUUAACUAGAUUUAUUAGAAGUGAAAAGCAAAUUGCGGACUUGUUCACAAAACCAGUGGACAUAACAAUAUUAGAAAAAUUAAAAACAAAAAUUGGACUGAUUAAUCUUGAGGAUGUAUUAAAGGCUAGACAACAAUAAUAAUAAAAUUAGAAGAAAAGAAAAACUGUAUUAUUAUUAUCAACAUGUAAAAUUCAGUUUGGUUAUAUGUUUUUUUGUUGUUAAUAUACAUGCUAUAUGUGUGAUUAUACAGGCUAUACAGAUUGUUAUAUGUGUGAUUAUAUGUGCGAUUAUACAUGUUGUUAAUAUACAAACUUUAUACAGGUUAUAAAGGCUAUGGUCUGUGAUUGAUGGUUUGUGAUUGUAUUUGUUUGUUUUGGUUGUGUUUGUUUUGGUUUGUUGAUAUGCAGGUUAUAUGUGUGUGUUUGUUCUUCUCUCCCUCUACUGUUCUGUGGGCUUGCUCUGUUUUGUUUCUUGUGUUAUUCAGGAUAGCUCAAAGGGAAAGACACAGAGAUGCUAGAGAAACAGAGCUAAGUCCUUGUUUUAAAAUUCAGAAAAGAUAAAAUUACUGAGUUGGUAAUGCUUUGGGAAUAUUUGAUGCAGAUUAAAUAGAAGGAGAUGCAUGAAUAAUCUAAAGAAAGAAGACUGUUGGAAAAGUGGACAGAUAAGCAGGAGAAAGGUUUUCCCAGAAUAAAUUAAAAAGAUGCAAAAGUAACAAAACACGCUUGGUUUUUAAUCCAUUUCCUGCUAUUCUACACUAGGGUGCAAUUACAAGUAGCAAGAUUAGUAUGCAAGUAUUCUUUAUCUUGAGAGGGAUUUUUUAUAAAGCAAGCUCAAAUCAACAGCUCUUGUAAAGAAGAUUAAAAAAAGAAGAAAGAAGAUUGGAAUUCUGCUUAUAAACAAAAUCUGCUUAUUUGAAAUGUAGAAUUAGUUUACGGAGGAAUGAAGAUUAUAUAAUAAUAUAUAAGACUUCUUUGUAAUAUUUAGAAGUUAAUGGACUAAGUAGAAAUAUAGUAUUAUAUAUAUAUGUAAUAGGGUUAUAACCAAUACAGAUUACUCUCGAUUUAUUUCACUACUGUUUUACAGGAUUCAACUUCUUGAAUCUGUUGUUUAUUCGUCUCUCGACCUCCUCCAAUCAUCAGAAUCUACCUUGAAUGAAAACUGUUUGAUUUGGAGAGAUGAGUUGACUAGAGACGUUACUGAUCCUAUCUACUAAUACUUUUGUAAUUAGCUUGUAGGCCAAAUUAACACAUUAGAUCGGUUUGAAAUCAGACAUAUCUAAGACCAUGUUUAUUUUAAGUACAAGCGUGAUGAAUAUUAUAAUUUACUAACUAUAAGUAGUUUAAAAGUUAAAAAUUAAUAACUUUUAUGCAUACACGGAUACACCCCUAGUUUUUGCUUUUCUAGGAGGCUGUGUUUGGCUGUUGACAAAACAAAUUUGGGGUAAACAAAAGACACAAUUUACUGUUUGUAUGGCGAAAUACAGAUAAAAAAGAAACAGUAAACAUUUUAUUUAAUACUCUCAAAUCUCAAUCAACUUUUUUGGAACGUAUGUUCUCUAUCUAAUUUAGUAAUUUUAUAUUGUAAACAAUCAAAUUUAAAUUUUCUUAACUUAUAUUUCUAUGAUAAAAAAAUGCAAAACUAUAAUUACUUUUUUAACAUUUUAAAAAGAUAAUUAAAAUUUUAAAUUUACUAUAUAACUAGAGUAAUAGCUAAUAAAAAAAAAUGAAUUUCUUGAUCACUUCUUUUAUAAACUAUUAUUUAUCAUAAUAGUUUAUAUUUUUAUAAACUAUUUUUUGUAAACUGAAAUUAACCUUAUUUUUUUAAUAAAAUUUAAUUACGAACCUAGAUUACGAAUCAAUCAUAAACCCCCGUCCAGGUAAAUAUCAAAUAAAAUUGAAGGUAUGUCUUUAUUUGUACUCAACUUCUCCCAUCUUAAAU